AUGUGUUUGUGAAGAGAAGUGUUUGUGAACUGACGUAUUACUGUGUGUAUGUAUACAUAUACACACACAUACACACCACCUUCUACUUAACACAC
rnacentral:miRNA from 1 species